GUCUACAGCCAUGCCACCCUGAACGUGCCCAAUCUCAUCUGAUCGAGAGGAAGCUAAGCAGGGUCGGGCCUGGUUAGUACUUGGAUGGGAGACCACCUAGGAAUACCAGGUGCUAUAGGUG
rnacentral:rRNA from 1 species